GGCCGUACUGGCCGGGAGGCAUCUGGCCGGGAACCGGCUGGCCGGACAUGGGCUGGCCGGGCUGCUGGUUCCAGCCGGGCUGCGGGCC
rnacentral:tRNA from 1 species